rnacentral:rRNA from 1 species
GACGAACGCUGGCGGCGUGCUUAACACAUGCAAGUCGAACGGAAAGGCCCUGCUUUUGUGGGGUGCUCGAGUGGCGAACGGGUGAGUAACACGUGAGUAACCUGCCCUUGACUUUGGGAUAACUUCAGGAAACUGGGGCUAAUACCGGAUAGGAGCUCCUGCUGCAUGGUGGGGGUUGGAAAGUUUCGGCGGUUGGGGAUGGACUCGCGGCUUAUCAGCUUGUUGGUGGGGUAGUGGCUUACCAAGGCUUUGACGGGUAGCCGGCCUGAGAGGGUGACCGGCCACAUUGGGACUGAGAUACGGCCCAGACUCCUACGGGAGGCAGCAGUGGGGAAUAUUGCACAAUGGGCGGAAGCCUGAUGCAGCAACGCCGCGUGCGGGAUGACGGCCUUCGGGUUGUAAACCGCUUUCGCCUGUGACGAAGCGUGAGUGAAGGUAAUGUGUAAAGAAGCACCGGCUAACUACGUG